UACGUAGGGGGCAAGCGUUGUCCGGAUUUAUUGGGCGUAAAGAGCGUGUAGGCGGCCAGGUAGGUCUGCUGUGAAAACUCGAGGCUUAACCUCGAGCUGUCGGCGGAAACCAUCUGGCUAGAGUCCGGAAGAGGAGAAUGGAAUUCCCGGUGUAGCGGUGAAAUGCGCAGAUAUCGGGAAGAACACCCGUGGCGAAGGCGGAUCUCUGGGCCUGUCCUGACGCUGAGGCGCGAAAGCUAGGGGAGCGAACAGG
rnacentral:rRNA from 1 species